GCCAUCUUAGCUCAGUGGUAGAGCGCGUGGCUUUUAACCACGUGGUCGUGGGUUCGAUCCCCGUAGACGGUG
rnacentral:tRNA from 1 species